UCUUCGUUGCAAGCUCAUUUU
rnacentral:piRNA from 1 species